GGAGGUAGCUCAGCGGCACAGUGCCCGCCUGGCAAGUGUGAAGCCCUGAGUUCGAUUCCCAGUACCACCC
rnacentral:tRNA from 1 species